ensembl:misc_RNA Y_RNA Y RNA
GGUUGGUCUAAGCGCAAUGGUGUUUGCAGCUAAGUGAUCACAAACAGUUACGGAUUUCUUUGUUCCUUGUCCACUUGCACUGUUUUAUUUAACUAGGUUUUA